rnacentral:rRNA from 1 species
GACGAACGCUGGCGGCGUGCUUAACACAUGCAAGUCGAACGGAAAGGCCCUGCUUGCCGGGUACUCGAGUGGCGAACGGGUGAGUAACACGUGGGUGAUCUGCCCUGCACUUCGGGAUAAGACUGGGAAACUGGGUCUAAUACCGGAUAGGAGCCCAUUUUAGUGUGAUGGUUGGAAAGUUUUUUCGGUGUAGGAUGAGCUCGCGGCCUAUUAGCUUGUUGGUGGGGUAAUGGCCUACCAAGGCGGCGACGGGUAGCCGGCCUGAGAGGGUGGACGGCCACAUUGGGACUGAGAGACGGCCCAGACGCCUACGGGAGGCAGCAGUGGGGAAUAUUGCACAAUGGGCGCAAGCCUGAUGCAGCGACGCCGCGUGGGGGAUGACGGCCUUCGGGUUGUAAACUCCUUUCGCUAGGGACGAAGCUUUUUGUGACGGUACCUAGAUAAGAAGCACCGGCUAACUACGUG